AGUGAACGCUGGCGGUAUGCCUAACACAUGCAAGUCGAACGGCAGCACAGUAAGAGCUUGCUCUUACGGGUGGCGAGUGGCGGGCGGGUGAGGAAUACAUCGGAAUCUACUUUUUCGGGGGGGAUAACGUAGGGAAACUUACUCUAAUACCGCAUACGACCUACGGGUGAAAGCAGUGGAUCUUCUGACCUUGCGCGAUUGAAUUAGCCGAUGUCGGAUUAGCUAGUUGGGGGGGUAAAGGCCCACCAAGGCGACGAUCCGUAGCUGGUCUGAGAGGAUGGUAGGCCACACUGGAACUGGGCCACGGUCCAGACUCCUACGGGAGGCAGCAGUGGGGAAUAUUGGGCAAUGGGCGCAAGCAUGAUCCAGCCAUACCGAGUGGGUGAAGAAGGCCUUCGGGUUGUAAAGCCCUUUUGUUGGGAAAGAAAAGCAGCAGGUUAAUACCCCGCUGUUCUGACGGUACCCAAAGAAUAAGCACCGGCUAACUUCGUG
rnacentral:rRNA from 1 species